rnacentral:rRNA from 1 species
GACGAACGCUGGCGGCGUGCUUAACACAUGCAAGUCGUACGGUAAGGCCCUUUCGGGGGUACACGAGUGGCGAACGGGUGAGUAACACGUGAGUAACCUGCCCACAACUUUGGGAUAACGCUAGGAAACUGGUGCUAAUACAGGAAAUGUGUUCCUGCUGCAUGGUGGGGGUUGGAAAGCUCCGGCGGCUGUGGAUGGACCCUCAGCCUAUCAGCCUGUUGGUGGGGAUGGGGCCUACCAAGGCGGCGACGGGUAGCCGGCCUGAGAGGGUGACCGGCCACAUUGAGAAUGAGAGACGGCUAAGACUCGUACGGGGGGCAGGAGUGGGCAGAAUCGCACAAUGGGCGGAAACCAGAUGCAGAGACGCCGCGUGCGGGAUGACGGCCUUCGGGUUGUCAACCGCUGUCAGCAGUGACGAAGCUUUUUGUGACGGUACCUGCAGAAGAAGCACCGGCUAAUUUCGUG